rnacentral:snRNA from 1 species
AUACUUACCUGGCAGCGGAGAUACCAAGAUCAGGAAGGUGGUUUUCCCAGGGCGAGGCUUAUCCAUUGCACUCUGAAUGUGCUGACCCCUGAGAUUUCCCCAAAUGUGAAAAACUCAACUGCAUAAUUUGUGGUACUGGGGGACUGCUGUUCGCACUCUCCCCUU